AGAGUUUGAUCAUGGCUCAGAACGAACGCUGGCGGCAGGCUUAACACAUGCAAGUCGAACGCUCGUAGCAAUACGGGAGUGGCGGACGGGUGAGUAACGCGUGGGAACGUGCCCUGAGGUACGGAAUAACUGCGGGAAACUGCAGCUAAUACCGUAUGAGCCCUGUGAGGGGGAAAGAUUUAUCGCCUUAGGAGCGGCCCGCGUCGGAUUAGCUAGUUGGUGGGGUAACGGCUUACCAAGGCUUCGAUCCGUAGCUGGUCUGAGAGGACGAUCAGCCACACUGGGACUGAGACACGGCCCAGACUCCUACGGGAGGCAGCAGUGGGAAUCUUGCGCAAUAGGGGCAACCCUGACGCAGCCAUGCCGCGUGAAUGAUGAAGGCCUUAGGGUUGUAAAGUUCUUUUGCCCGUGACGAUGAUGACGGUAACGGGAGAAUAAGCUCCGGCUAACUUCGUG
rnacentral:rRNA from 1 species